rnacentral:rRNA from 1 species
GACGCACCUGACAAACGUUAUUCGGAAUUACUGGGCUUAAAGGGUGCGUAGGCGGCGCGACAAGUUGGGUGUGAAAUCCCUCGGCUCAACCGAGGAACUGCGCUCAAUACUGUCGUGCUCGAGGGAGACAGAGGUGAGCGGAACUUAGGGUGGAGCGGUGAAAUGCGUUGAUAUCCUAAGGAACACCGGUAGCGAAAGCGGCUCACUGGGUCUUUUCUGACGCUGAGGCACGAAAGCUAGGGUAGCGAACGGG